UACGAAGGGGGCUAGCGUUGUUCGGAAUUACUGGGCGUAAAGCGUGCGCAGGCGGCUUCUCAAGUCAGGGGUGAAAGCCCAGAGCUCAACUCUGGAAUUGCCUUUGAGACUGAGUGGCUUGAGUACGAGAGAGGUGAGUGGAAUUCCCAGUGUAGAGGUGAAAUUCGUAGAUAUUGGGAAGAACACCGGUGGCGAAGGCGGCUCACUGGACCAUAACUGACGCUGAUGCACGAAAGCUAGGGGAGCAAACAGG
rnacentral:rRNA from 1 species